rnacentral:rRNA from 1 species
UACGUAGGGUGCGAGCGUUAAUCGGAAUUACUGGGCGUAAAGCGUGCGCAGGCGGUUUUGUAAGCCAGAUGUGAAAGCCCCGGGCUCAACCUGGGAAUGGCAUUUGGGACUGCAAGGCUUGAGUGCGGCAGAGGAGACUGGAAUUCCUGGUGUAGCAGUGAAAUGCGUAGAUAUCAGGAGGAAUACCGAUGGCGAAGGCAGGUCUCUGGGCUGACACUGACGCUCAUGCACGAAAGCGUGGGGAGCAAACGGG